GUGGGCAUAGCUCAGUGUUAGAGUACAUGCUUAGCAUGCAUGAGGUCCCGGGUUCAAUCCCCAGUACCUCCA
rnacentral:tRNA from 1 species